CCUGGACCCAGCUCCAUCCCAGAGGGGCCACAGACCAUGGCAAAGCUGCAGGUCACAGGGAGCCUGUGAACACAGCACCACGUCACGGGCUGCAGGAAGUCAGAUAACUAUGAGUUAAGCAUAUUAAAAGCAGGGCUCUCUCAAGAGACAGUCCAGCACGUGGGGUUCUGGACAUGGGAAGAUAAUAAUGGCUAAAACACAAGAAGCAUUACUGUUGUUACAGAUGGAGACCCAGCUCCUCUCUGCUCCAUUCACAGGCCACUUCACAGAGCUCAGCCCACAUGGAUGCAGGAGAUGAGUGGCCAGCAAAGAAUUUCAUAGAUGAAUUUUCUCACAAUUCAAGAUCUUGUCGGCUUCCUGUUGUGUUGGAACAAAAAUGCGCUCAAGAUUUCACGCACCAUGGAGCCGGUGACAGUCUUGAUCUAAGUACCCUAGUGAGGUUUGCAGUCAGCCUCAAGAACAUCUGACUGCACGUGGAUGAAGUUGACAUAGAUCUGUAUGCUUAUCGAUGUCAGACGCAGCAUUUCUAGUCAGGCAUGUUUAAACACACACUUCCGGUCUAUGCGCUUCCUACACACCUCAUAGGACUGAUUUGUUCCUUGGUUCCACUCUGUCAAAGAUUCUCAAACGCAUAUAAGGACUCUAAGCAGGUCAGU